AUCAGGUCUUUUGUUUGGAAGCAAAAUAGAAUCUAAUAUUUCAUUUUCUUUUUUUAAAUUUAUUUUUUAGUUUUCGGCAGACACAACAUCUUUGUUUGUAUGUGGUGCUGAGGAUCGAACCCGGGCCGCACGCAUGCCAAGAGUUUCAUGUUCUAUCUAAACCUAUCUGACUGUUUUUGAUAUGGCUUGAUUUUUUUGAAACAAGUCUUCGGUGACUUAGCUCAAACUUGCACUGAAAGCACAACUUCCCGACUUGCUGUGGGUGGCUGCUGGGAUGUCAUCACUGCACAUCAGAAACAAGCUGCAGCUUUGCUGCUUUGCCCAAGGAUCAGGCCCAUCAGAUGAGUGUCAUGGGCUGCCUGAGGCUGAACAGCACAGGGCUCGGGAGGGUAGUCCCGGGAAGCUGGAGCUUCUCUGCUGCCGCUGUGCACAGCCUAGAAGACUCCUGCCAAGGAGGGCGGAGGCCACCUGGGAAGUGUCCUCUGAGCCCAG
rnacentral:lncRNA from 1 species